rnacentral:lncRNA from 1 species
AUUAAAUGCAAGGAGUAAGAAAGAUGCUGCAACUAAGGAUAACUUCAAGAUUUUUAGUUGGGAAAAGGGUGAAAAAAAAGAUCUGGAAGAGAUAGGAAACAAGCGGUUGGAGAGAAUGAGGAUAAAAAAAAUGAGUUCUGUCUGGGACGCAUUAUGUCUGCAGUGUUUGCAGGGAACCCAGAGAGAGGUGUGGCAGCUGGAGAUGUGAGCUGAGAUGUCAGGGAAGGAGAGGGGUGUUUGGAAAUUGUCUCAAACAUAGCUUGUAUAGGUGAAGAUGUGGAAUGGGCAGGGUCCUCCAGAGAGGACAGGCAGAAGGAAAUAAGAAAAGAGGAAGAAGUCACACCUGGGAAAGGCUCGCAUUUAUUACAAGGGAUCUAGUAAAGGAGGCUAAGAAGGAAUGGGAGAAGAGGCAAGAAGUGGCAGUGAUUUGGAAAGAAAAGGAGAUGGAAUUUCGCUCUGUCACUGAGGCUGGAGUACAAUGGCGCUAUCUUGGCUCACUGCAACUUCCGCCUCCCGGGUUCAAGCAAUUCUCCUGCCUCAGCCGCCCGAGUAGCUGGGAUUACAGGUAUUCUUUCACCGACUAUACAAGGGGGUGGUAUCUGAUUGGGGAAAACUUUCCUUUGUUCUCCUGUUUCUGGGAGGGACUUCUGUCAUGGACGCUUGCAGCUUCUCUCCCCACAGGAGGAGAUACUGAAGAUGAACACUUUUUCCAGUUGGUGGGGUGCAAACGGUUUGCACAUCCAUCAGCCCACUGUUCUUUUCCCAGGUAG